GGAGUAAUAGCUCCGUGGUAGUGCACACGGUUAGCAUGCAUGAGGUCCUGGGUUCUAUUCCCAGUACCUCCA
rnacentral:tRNA from 1 species